rnacentral:rRNA from 1 species
CGUACACUCCUGCGGGAGGCAGCAGUGGGGAAUUUUGGACAAUGGGCGAAAGCCUGAUCCAGCCAUGCCGCGUGCAGGAUGAAGGCCUUCGGGUUGUAAACUGCUUUUGUACGGAACGAAACGGCCUUUUCUAAUAAAGAGGGCUAAUGACGGUACCGUAAGAAUAAGCACCGGCUAACUACGUGCCAGCAGCCGCGGUAAUACGUAGGGUGCAAGCGUUAAUCGGAAUUACUGGGCGUAAAGCGUGCGCAGGCGGUUAUGUAAGACAGUUGUGAAAUCCCCGGGCUCAACCUGGGAACUGCAUCUGUGACUGCAUAGCUAGAGUACGGUAGAGGGGGAUGGAAUUCCGCGUGUAGCAGUGAAAUGCGUAGAUAUGCGGAGGAACACCGAUGGCGAAGGCAAUCCCCUGGACCUGUACUGACGCUCAUGCACGAAAGCGUGGGGAGCAAACAGGAUUAGAUACCCUAGUAGUCCC